AGCCGCACCGGUUGAGCAGCUGCCUGAGGGAGAGCUGAGCCGCGGAGAGCGAGGGAGGCGUCGCGCAGGCCAUGCUGGGGCGGCGGGGCUUGUCCUUCGGGCAGCUGCUCCUGGCCACCGGGCUCGGCGUGGCGGGAGGCAUCUACAUCUACCAGCCCAUCUUCCAAGGGGGCCCACGCGCGGGAGGCCCUGCCCGGGACACGCCGCCGCCGCCGCGGCAGGAGGAGAAGCCGCCCCCCGGGACCCGCCUCGGCUGAGCCGGAGAGAGGCUGGCGCUUCCUCGCGGCCGCGACGAGGCUCCUUUCUUGGCCCCCCACGAUGGGAAGCCCGCCCGGCGCACAAGCGCUGCCGAGAAACCCCUCCGAAGCGAAAGAGAUGUGGACUGAAAGUUGAAAAAUUCAACAUGCCGUAAGCCAUGUGCGAGGGAUCACCAGGAAAGGGGCUGAAUAUAUAAACCUGCCAGCAGCACAGCGCCAAACCACGACAUCCACAAUUGUUGGAACAGCCAAGAACUGGGAGGGAGGCAGGUGAUCUCUUUGCUGCAGCUGUCACACUGUGAGAAGAGACAUCAGCAGCAGCCGCCCAGUGAGGACAUCCUGCUCGGCGUAGGACUGACGUGGCUGGGACGCCAAAGAAAAAGAGGAGCAGGGACUUGCAUACGCUGUUCAGCUCUAGUGACUGUUGUAUCACUGCCAUUUAAAUUGCUAUUUGAAUAUAACAGUUUAACAUAAGGCCGCCUCGAGAACUUUAUUCAGUAGGCGGGGUAUAAAUACUCCUAAAUAAAUAAAAUAAAAUAGACCUAUGGCAAGAC